rnacentral:lncRNA from 1 species
UAAAAGGUGAAAUUUUAUACCAUUUUAAAUUUGUGACAGAAGUUAUAGAGAAAACUAGAAACGGAUUAAAGCACGCUACAGAAUAUUAAAAACAACAUUACUACUCAAAAUGAUUCGGAUCGAACCGGAGUGAACACGGCUAAGUCGCGAGAAGAAACACCGAUUCCGAGAUCGCGUAACUCGGAAAUUUGCGUGGUUGCCACAGAAACGAAAAACUGGAAUCUUCAUCGUUGUUGCCACGAACCAAUCUAACUGAGGCCCGUCCUCAAAACCUCAUGAUAGAAGCCUACAACUUCUCCGAGAACUAACGCAAAAACGCAAAAACAACCGCAGACUUAUACACUAGAUCAACGAGCUAGCGACGCCACUUAAAUCUAUACGCCGCCUCUAUUCAACACUCGGGAAACCUUGCCAUAGCACUCGGAAGCUCACCUGCACAAAUUGAACCUACACCAAUGACAACAACAACAACAAAAACUCCACCUAAAAGCAACCGGAGCCGAAGUGAAAGGGAGACAAGGCGAAAUGGACAUGGAUGGCUGCCACCCUAAACUGCCCACUGAAGAAGGAGCAACGUUGACCACCUGAAAGAAACCCACAACGCCACUAACCGCCACGAACAAACCACAAGAGCCAAAACUGACCCCGAGAGUUGCCUUCACAAGGGACGCUUGUCAUAUUCCAAUACCACCACCACCGGAGCGGAGAAAACUAAGGCGGAGAGAUCCGAGAAAAGAGGAACCGCCACACCGAGAACACCGAAAUGCCCAAACCACCUGAGGAACGGCGAUAUCUAAAAAUACACGGCGAUGCACCACCGGAUUCUCAGCCUAGAAGGAUGGUCCCGCCGCUAGGAGCAACACGCUGCUACAACCGCCGCAUCUAAGCCAAAACCAAAAGCGGAGAGACACGCACGAGGAGAGAUUGUAAGCCAAACUCGCCGGUAGAGAGAACCAGAAACAACACCGUCCUUGAGCGUUGAAAUCCAGGGCUCACCGAGAAAGAAAGCAAUCUAUCCUUUGAACCGUGCAAGAGCACUCGACGCUUCACCACCAUCAAGCGACGAAAAGCUAGCAGUGGACUGGGCACCGGAGCAUCAAAGGAGCAACGGAGGAAGCAAACAGAGACAAAGGGGGAAGGGAGAGAUGACCCUCUCCGACAAACGGCAACGGCACCGUUGCCGGAGAGGCAAAAUCGAUUCUGA